GUGAACGCCCUCACGGGCUUAUACUAGUCCAAACCUCUGUGAACCGUGCCCUUCGGGGCUAUUUUACAAACAUGGUGUAAUGAACGUCGUAUAUCAUAACAAAAUAC
rnacentral:misc_RNA from 1 species